rnacentral:rRNA from 1 species
CAAUAGCGUAUAUUAAAGUUGUUGCGGUAAAAAAGCUCGUAGUUGGAUUUCUACCGAAGAUAGCCGGUCGGGUCUUCGACCUUGUAUCUGGUUUUGUCUUUAGUAUCCUCAUAGGGAACGUUUCUGCGCUUUAUUGCGUGGUGCGGUAUCUAUGACUUUUACUUUGAGGAAAUUAGAGUGUUCACGGCAGGCAAACGCCUUGAAUAUAUUAGCAUGGAAUAAUAACAUAGGAUCUUCGUCCUAUUUUGUUGGUUUCUAGGGCUAAGAUAAUGAUUAAUAGGGAUAAUUGGGGGCAUCUGUAUCAACGCGUCAGAGGUGGAAUUCUUGGAUUGCGUUGCGACAAACUACUGCGAAAGCAUUUGCCAAGGAUGUUUUCAUUGA